rnacentral:rRNA from 1 species
UACGGAGGGUGCAAGCGUUAAUCGGAAUUACUGGGCGUAAAGCGUGCGCAGGCGGUUUGUUAAGUCUGUUGUGAAAUCCCCGAGCUCAACUUGGGAAUUGCAAUGGAUAUUGGCAGGCUGGAGUAUGGUAGAGGAAGGUGGAAUUCCCGGUGUAGCAGUGAAAUGCGUAGAGAUCGGGAGGAACACCAGUGGCGAAGGCGGCCUUCUGGACCAAUACUGACGCUCAUGCACGAAAGCGUGGGGAGCAAACAGG